rnacentral:misc_RNA from 1 species
GCUGACGUAUAAUGUUAAUAGUUUAACGUUAUGUGACCCAUUAUUAGAGGUCUCAAGUUGCGAUAUAAGAUCAUAUAGCGACCUAUGGCAAUUAUUGUAUCUUGAUGUGUUUAACAAUUGUACAUACUUGGAUAUAAGUCACCUCAUUCGUUUACUAUAUACAUGCGAUGUUAGCUGGAAUGCGAGACGCAAAUUAAAGAUUUCAUUCUGAUUUAAAGUUUUGCACAAUAAAAGCAAUACCAGCGGUAUUUUAUUUAUAUGUUGAGAACGGGCAAAUAUAUUGAAUUGCCCGGAAAGUUCAUUCCGAUUUUUAAGAAAUUUGAUCAACAUGAAAAAUCGUGCUGAAAAGUUUUUCGCCAAAAAACCUGAAAGGUUCUGGAAGGAUGAAUUAUC